AUUGAACGCUGGCGGAAUGCUUUACACAUGCAAGUCGAGCGGCAGCACGGGGGCAACCCUGGUGGCGAUCGGCGAACGGGUGAGGAAUACAACUGAACAGGCCCAGUCGUGGGGGAUAACACUUCGAAAGAAGUGCUAAUACCGCAUACGCCCUGCGUGGGAAAGCGGGGGAUCGCAAGACCUGGCGCGAUUGGAGUGGCCGAUGUCAGAUUAGCUAGUGGGUGGGGUAAAGGCCUACCAAGGCAACGAUCUGUAGCUGGUCUGAGAGGAUGAUCAGCCACACUGGAACUGAGACACGGCCCAGACUCCUACGGGAGGCAGCAGUGGGGAAUUUUGGACAAUGGGGGCAACCCUGAUCCAGCCAUUCCGCGUGAGUGAAGAAGGCCUUCGGGUUGUAAAGCUCUUUCGGCAGGAACGAAACGGUGAGAUCUAACAUAGCUUGCUAAUGACGGUACCUGAAGAAGAAGCACCGGCUAACUACGUG
rnacentral:rRNA from 1 species